rnacentral:rRNA from 1 species
CUACGGGGCGCAGCAGUGGGGAAUAUUGCACAAUGGGCGCAAGCCUGAUGCAGCCAUGCCGCGUGUAUGAAGAAGGCCUUCGGGUUGUAAAGUACUUUCAGCGGGGAGGAAGGGAGUAAAGUUAAUACCUUUGCUCAUUGACGUUACCCGCAGAAGAAGCACCGGCUAACUCCGUGCCAGCAGCCGCGGUAAUACGGAGGGUGCAAGCGUUAAGCGGAAUUACUGGGCGUAAAGCGCACGCAGGCGGUUUGUUAAGUCAGAUGUGAACUCCCCGGGCUCAACCUGGGAACUGCAUCUGAUACUGGCAAGCUUGAGUCUCGUAGAGGGGGGUAGAAUUCCAGGUGUAGCGGUGAAAUGCGUAGAGAUCUGGAGGAAUACCGGUGGCGAAGGCGGCCCCCUGGACGAAGACUGACGCUCAGGUGCGAAAGCGUGGGGAGCAAACAGGAUUAGAUACCCCCGUAGUC